GAUGAACGCUGGCGGCGUGCCUAAUACAUGCAAGUCGAGCGAACAGACGAGGAGCUUUCUCCUCUGACGUUAGCGGCGGACGGGUGAGUAACACGUGGAUAACCUACCUAUAAGACUGGGAUAACUUCGUGAAACCGGAGCUAAUACCGGAUAAUAUAUUGAACCGCAUGGUUCAAUAGUGAAAGACGGUUUUGCUGUCACUUAUAGAUGGAUCCGCGCCGCAUUAGCUAGUUGGUAAGGUAACGGCUUACCAAGGCAACGAUGCGUAGCCGACCUGAGAGGGUGAUCGGCCACACUGGAACUGAGACACGGUCCAGACUCCUACGGGAGGCAGCAGUAGGGAAUAUUCCGCAAUGGGCGAAAGCCUGACGGAGCAACGCCGCGUGAGUGAUGAAGGUCUUCGGAUCGUAAAACUCUGUUAUUAGGGAAGAACAAAUGUGUAAGUAAAUAUGCACGUCUUGACGGUACCUAACCAGAAAGCAACGGCUAACUACGUG
rnacentral:rRNA from 1 species